CCAAAAUCCGGUUAGAUUUCACA
rnacentral:snRNA from 1 species